UGGGGAAUAUUGCACAAUGGGCGAAAGCCUGAUGCAGCAACGCCGCGUGAGGGACGACGGCCUUCGGGUUGUAAACCUCUUUUAGCAAGGAAGAAGCGAAAGUGACGGUACUUGCAGAAAAAGCGCCGGCUAACUACGUGCCAGCAGCCGCGGUAAUACGUAGGGCGCAAGCGUUAUCCGGAAUUAUUGGGCGUAAAGAGCUCGUAGGCGGUUUGUCGCGUCUGCUGUGAAAAACCCGAGGCUCAACCUCGGGCCUGCAGUGGGUACGGGCAGACUAGAGUGCGGUAGGGGAGAUUGGAACUCCUGGUGUAGCGGUGGAAUGCGCAGAUAUCAGGAAGAACACCGAUGGCGAAGGCAGAUCUCUGGGCCGUAACUGACGCUGAGGAGCGAAAAGGGUGGGGAGCAAAACAGGCUUAGAUACCCUGGUAGUCCACCCCGUAAACGUUGGGAACUAGUUGUGGGGUCCAUUCCACGGAUUCCGUGACGCAGCUAACGCAUUAAGUUCCCCGCCUGGGGAGUACGGCCGCAAGGCUAAAAACUCAAAAGGAAUUGACGGGGUCAU
rnacentral:rRNA from 1 species